GAAAUAGAGCCCGCGCCUAAAAAGCCCUUUCAUAUCUUCCCCCCUCUCUCUAUAGCUCCAAUCUCUCUCCUUUUCCUCUCCAUUCUCUUUGUAACCAGUUGGUACGGAAUCCUCUUGAAUCCCUCAACCAGAAUCCCCUUUUCCUCUCCAAAACUAAAAUUCACAAAACCCUAAUCUUUCAUUUAUGAAAAAUCUAGAUCUCUUCAAUCUCAAAUCCUCGUUCUCCCUCUAUCUCCCCUAGACUCCUUGAUUUUACAUUCUUUGAAUAUUUAAGGGACAACCUGCAUCAAGAUGACGAGAGACUAGCAGUGGUAAUCGAAAAACAAAAGCAGUCUUCAGAUCUGGAGAUGAGUAGACUUGAUGCAAGGAUCAUGCAGAAUUUGAUGUCAUGCAGCAAUUGGAACGUGAGCUUGAGGCCAUGUCUACCUUUGAUUACUGAGAAGUUACGUUACUCCUCGUGAAGAAGUUCUUGCGGGCACGUUUGGAGGAUUUAGCAGGCAAAGAUACCAAAGAGAAAUCUAAUGCUGCUAUAAAAGACCUUUUUGCGGAGCUUGCAAUGGAGGCCAAAAGCAAUGUCAACAAAGGAGGUGAUGAUUCAAAACAGAUACAGGCAAUGUCAAAGAAAAAGAAGAAGGAUUACAGAAGAGCUAAGAAUCCAAAGGGCAUUGGUCAUGACAAAGAUACUCUCACCCAUCAGGAAACUGAAGAACAAGCGAAGCUGAGGCUACUUUGAAUGCUAAGGAUAUCUAAUCACAAAUACAAAAUCACCUAUGGUUGUAGUACGAAAGUAGCUACAGUAAAGCUAGGGUCCUCAAAGAAUCGUUGUUGAUGUGAUUAUGAUGUCUUCUUGGUUUCCAUUUGCAGAUGUGUGAUUAGGACAUCGAUGUUUUAGGUGGUGGCAACAGCCGGUGGAGUUGGACUAGCCAUCAACUUCACCUCUAUGUGGUUUUUAAACCAAACAGGUCCCACCACGUACAAGUAAGAGUCAUAUGCCACUGAGAGACUACUAAUGAAUAGUCUUCCUAC